rnacentral:rRNA from 1 species
GACGAACGCUGGCGGCGUGCCUAAUACAUGCAAGUAGAACGCUGAAGGAGGAGCUUGCUUCUCUGGAUGAGUUGCGAACGGGUGAGUAACGCGUAGGUAACCUGCCUGGUAGCGGGGGAUAACUAUUGGAAACGAUAGCUAAUACCGCAUAAUAGCAGUUGUUGCAUGACAACUGUUUGAAAGGUGCAAUUGCCCCACUACCAGAUGGACCUGCGUUGUAUUAGCUAGUUGGUGGGGUAACGGCUCACCAAGGCGACGAUACAUAGCCGACCUGAGAGGGUGAUCGGCCACACUGGGACUGAGACACGGCCCAGACUCCUACGGGAGGCAGCAGGAGGGAAUCUUCGGCAAUGGACGGAAGCCUGACCGAGCAACGCCGCGGGAGUGAAGAAGGGUUUCGGAUCGUAAAGCUCUGUUGUAAGAGAAGAACGAGUGUGAGAGUGGAAAGUUCACACUGUGACGGUAGCUUACCAGAAAGAGACGGCUAACUACGUG